GACGAACGCUGGCGGUGUGCUUAACACAUGCAAGUGGUGCGACGAACCAGAGCUUGCUCUGGGGCAAAGCCGCGAACGGGUGAGUAACACGUGGGGUAAUCUACCCCCGAUGACCGGGACAACCCCGAGGAAACUCGGGCUAAUACCGGAUGUGGUACGGAGACAUAAGUCUCUUUACUAAAGGUAGCUUCGGCUUCCGCAUUGGGAGGGGCCCGCGGCCCAUUAGCUAGUUGGUGGGGUCAAGGCCUACCAAGGCAACGAUGGGUAGCUGGUCCGAGAGGACGAUCAGCCACACUGGGACUGAGACACGGCCCAGACUCCUACGGGAGGCAGCAGUGGGGAAUCUUGCGCAAUGCGCGAAAGCGUGACGCAGCAACACCGCGUGAGGGAAGACGGCCUUAGGGUUGUAAACCUCUUUCAGAUGGGACGAAGGUGAUGCGGUGAAUAGCCGAUGUCAUUGACGGUACCGUCAGAAGAAGCUCCGGCUAACUACGUGCCAGCAG
rnacentral:rRNA from 1 species